rnacentral:rRNA from 2 species
AGGUUAAGUUAGAAAGGGCGCACGGUGGAUGCCUUGGCACUAGGAGCCGAUGAAGGACGGGACUAACACCGAUAUGCUUCGGGGAGCUGUAAGUAAGCUUUGAUCCGGAGAUUUCCGAAUGGGGAAACCCACUGUUCGUAAUGGAACAGUAUCUUUACCUGAAUCCAUAGGGUAUUGAAGGCAGACCCGGGGAACUGAAACAUCUAAGUACCCGGAGGAAGAGAAAGCAAACGCGAUUCCCUGAGUAGCGGCGAGCGAAACGGGAUUAGCCCAAACCAGAAGGCUUGCCUUCUGGGGUUGUAGGACACUCUAUGUGGAGUUACAAAGGAACGGGGUAGAUGAAGAGGUCUGGAAAGGCCCGUCAGAGAAGGUAAAAACCCUGUAGUUGAAACUUCGUUCCCUCCUGAGUGG